UUGGUGCGAAUAUUUUGUUAGCAAAUACCAAUGAAGUAAUUGUGCCUAUGAGUUUUUUAUGGUGUGCAUGAGUUUCGUAUUACUCCUGAAGGCAAUGAGAGGAAUUAAAAGGUUCGAUGUCAAACAACGUAAAUUUCAUGGAAAUUGGUUCACCAAACGGAUUAACUUUGCUAAUAGUGCAAUAUGGUGUGAUACGACACUUGAAUCAGCUUCUACAACUCUGUUGUGUUAUUGCUGAAAUCUCCUCUAUCUGAAGUACUAAAUAACGCUUUGUGGUGUAAGGAAUGUGGCAAUAGUUGUGUGGAGGCAGUUGAAGAGAUACGUGCUAGAACAGGGUGUGCAUCAAAGUUAAAAAUUGUUUGCAGUUUUUGUGAUUUAAGCGAAUGUGUUUCUACUACUGGCGUAACUAAACAGAGAGUGACAUCAUUGAUGCCAUAUUGGGGACACCGAGAAUGGACAUUUCCGCCAUAUUGAUGAUACCAGGGGUCAAAGCAGACGGCUGAAAGCAGAUGCUGCGGUAUCUGUGCUAGAUGCUGUUCCAUAUUUCAGUGACGGUGCAGUCUGAAGACUUAAUGUUGUGGAGCUGAUGGGAGUUCUUGGUGGACUAAAUAUGCUUAGGGCUCUAAUGGCCAUUGACUCAAGGAGACUCUUCGAACCAGAAAAAUCAUUGUUGGAAGCCACCAAAGAAUCAAGACAAAAAAGAAGUGUGAAAAAGAGAAGGGAGGAAGAACAACAUAGGAAAUAAGAUGUAUAUGGACGUUAGAUGCACUACUGCCAGCAAGUUUAAUAGAAAAAGGAAUCUUGAAUUACCCGAAAGUUAAAUUACUUCAUGAUCUACACUUUGGCUAAAAGCUAUUAAAGAUAGAGAACUGAAAUUUUGUAUACUGUUUUAAAACAUGCUUAACUAAAAAGUAGACUACU